UACGGGAGGGAAGAGUGCUGCUCGUUGCAACUGGGAGUACGAGUUCGCAGGCGGCCUAAGUCUUAGGCCCUAAUAGGUUACGGAGCAGCCGUGAAUGCAGGGUUUUUGAGGAAGGCUUGAGUGCUUCGAGGGGUCGAUGGUAUUGCUGUAUUAGCGUUGGAAUGUGAAUGAUGACAGCAAGAGGAUCCGAGGCGGAGGCGAUCGACCGGAAGUUACUGACGCUCAAGAACGAAAUCGGAGGGAGCGAGCGGG
rnacentral:rRNA from 1 species